GUACAAGCGGUAAUGAAUUCAUGAGUGAAAGUAGCACUGUCUCAUCACCAAUGACUCAGCUCUCUCCAGAGUCAACAUUGCACAGUAAUUUAUUGGGUAAAAUUGUCCACCAAAAUUCAAACGAUAGCAGUGGACUCGGAGGUCCACAGACCAUUGCUGACCUGCAACAGAAGCUACAUCAGUUGACAUCGCAGCCAUCAGAAUUGUCAUUGAGUGGCACUCCACCAUCGCAUCCGGCAACGCCUCACAAUCACUUACAAUCGCAGAACCAUGCAACAUCCAUUCAGACCCUUCAUGAAAAGCUUACCUCUAUCUCCAUGACAAAUUCACAACCCUGGUAUGAAGAUAAAAGUUUUGAGUUUUAGGAUUGAGGCCACAAAUCUUUUUAAUCUUAACAAUUAAUUACGUUUGUCCCCUAAAAAGUAAAAUUUGGCUUUUAAGUAAUUUAAGAGACUACAAUCUCUACAGUCAGUCAAGAUAGUCUACUAAAUAAUGAGACUAUAAGAAGAAUUCAUUUUGAGUAAAUGAGAGUAACAACUUUUUUAGUAAGUUACAGCAGUUCAUGAGAAAUAUUUUCAUUCCCUAGUAUCAUAGUUUUACUUAACUGAGGUCAAAUGAGCUCGCCUCAGUCUUAAUUGAAAGAAAAUCAAUUGACACUCUAAUUUUUUUUCUUCUUUCUUUUUUUAACAAAUAUUUAUUCUAAAUUCAUAGUACUCAAGGUGUGAAAAUUCUACAUUCAACUUGUGUAUGAGUUUAUUGAAAAUUAUUCCUAAUGCUUUUUCAAACUUCCAGGGUCCUUUAUCACCACAAAGUACGCUUCACUGCAUUCCUUCAAGUCAUCCUCCUCUAACAGCAGCUAUCGAAGUAUAUCAGAAUGCCAUUUUAUCAGAGGGCAUUGCUGUUGUGCAACAACCCUAUCUAGUCCAUUCUGUUGCCCCUACCUCGGACUCACAGCCGGUCACAAGUCAAAGUCAGCAACAGUACACGGUUCAAACGACCAUCGCUCCCGUCUUCGUUCAGCCUCUCCCGAGUAAUUUCCAAUCGGCUGAACUACCGCAGUAUGCUCAGUCCACGCCCAUGCUGUUCCAUCCGAUUCCAGCCGAUAGAAGUCAACUAACUCCAAAGGAAUCUCAAGAAACUACUCAGCAUGCAACGCCUAUCUGCUUCGCCCAAUCACCGCUAGUGAGGGCAGUUCUAGUCAGCUAUUCAUGUCACCAGCAACAUCUGAAUCAGAGAAGAAGUCUCCUAUUCAGCAUGUUCUUGUCCAGAAACUUGCAACAUCAGAGUCGAGCUCACCACAAUACAUUUAUCAACCUGUCAUGCAGCAGCCAAUCAUUCCAGGUCGAUUCAUGAUGGCAACCACACCGGUGGCUCAGUCCUCUGGCAACCCUGACCUCAAGAAUCCAUUGACUCAAGUAACAGUCCAACCAGUCGUCGUCCAUGAAACUCCUCUAGUCAUGCAGUCGGUUCCUCUACCAAGUGAACAUGCAAACUGUGCUUCGGGUGAAUCAUCAACUGCUGUCCAUCCUGAAAAAUCAGUCAUCCAGCCAAUGUCUAUAAUCACACACCCAAGUGUCAUCACAAGAACACCCGUACGUUUAUUUUAAUGCUAUAUUUCAGGUUCGAUGGUAAAGCCUCAAGCAUACUGAAUGAUGAAUAAGCCGUUUGAAAUGAUUGCCACUUUUGCUCCAUGAC
rnacentral:lncRNA from 1 species